rnacentral:lncRNA from 1 species
GGCCAGGGUAGUCCUUGUGAGGAGUCACAGGACUGUUUGAGUUGAGCACGAUUUGGAUGAUCUAAUCAGGGUUGAUAGUUUAAACUCUGAGUCAUCCUAAAACACAGGGGUCAUAAGGAUGAAUUAUACAGUAACCAUAUUCACGUAGGUUCUGAGUGUUGCGAUAGCGACUCUUCGACCUAUCCGAACGUCGGGUACCAUUGCUAGAUGGUCACUUCGAUUAGUACAGAAAUUGGUUCCUGUGCUACCGGCUUAGGUUCGAACCUGUGGGGUCACACACAUUAGAGGUUCCUAUCUGAUCUGAUGGCUGGUGUAGAAUCCUACAUGUUUGGGACACAGUGAUCGAGAAUCAAGAUUCUCU